GUUUUACUGGAGAGAUGUAAACAGUGACUUUUCAUUUAAAAGCCUAUAGGAACCAGAACAACUACAUUAAGCUAUAGUUGUUCUUGUGACUAUAGUGUCCCUUUAAAUUUGAACUUCACUUUAGUAAAUAACCCUUAAAGUUAUGCAAAACACCUUAGACGCCCCAGGUUCCAAGGGGGCUUCUAUUGCACUGGGGAAACCAGUGCCAUUACAGUAGACAGCUUGGUAGC